rnacentral:tRNA from 1 species
GGGCGCAUAGCUCAGCGGUAGAGCACUCGCCUUACAAGCGAGAGGCUGGUGGUUCGACACCACCUGCGCCCACCA